CACUGUCCCUUUGACUGAGUCCAAGGAUUUAAAAGCAAAGUACAAGUUACCCAAGGAGAUUAUACAGACCAACAUUUCUAUUUAAAGAGAGAAAGGCUUUCAGCAGAACUCUGACUAAGCAGCCUGUCCAAACCAUCAUCUGAGAGAAAGGCAAUGAAAAUACAAUGACAGUCAUGAAAAAUGCAUGAAAACAUAUAGCACAGUAUUGCUAUAGCAACUGAUAGGCCGCACAAUAACCUGACUUCAGUCCAGCUGAUGAGGAAACAAAUAUCAUAUCCAUCAUUUCAACUUGGCUACAUGGAAAAAUAUGGUCCAAAAAGACAUAUUAGCUGCAGCAGAGAGGUCUAGUAACAUUGAGGCUCAUACAGACAGAAUGACACAGAUGUGCCGAAAGGCUG